CUACCUGCAGUCGACGGUAACGGAAGCAGCUUGCUGCUUCGCUGACGAGUGGCGGACGGGUGAGUAAUGUCUGGGAAACUGCCUGAUGGAGGGGGAUAACUACUGGAAACGGUAGCUAAUACCGCAUAACGUCGCAAGACCAAAGAGGGGGACCUUCGGGCCUCUUGCCAUCGGAUGUGCCCAGAUGGGAUUAGCUAGUAGGUGGGGUAACGGCUCACCUAGGCGACGAUCCCUAGCUGGUCUGAGAGGAUGACCAGCCACACUGGAACUGAGACACGGUCCAGACUCCUACGGGAGGCAGCAGUGGGGAAUAUUGCACAAUGGGCGCAAGCCUGAUGCAGCCAUGCCGCGUGUAUGAAGAAGGCCUUCGGGUUGUAAAGUACUUUCAGCGGGGAGGAAGGCGAUAAGGUUAAUAACCUUGUCGAUUGACGUUACCCGCAGAAGAAGCACCGGCUAACUCCGUGCCAGCAGCCGCGGUAAUACGGAGGGUGCAAGCGUUAAUCGGAAUUACUGGGCGUAAAGCGCACGCAGGCGGUCUGUCAAGUCGGAUGUGAAAUCCCCGGGCUCAACCUGGGAACUGCAUUCGAAACUGGCAGGCUAGAGUCUUGUAGAGGGGGGUAGAAUUCCAGGUGUAGCGGUGAAAUGCGUAGAGAUCUGGAGGAAUACCGGUGGCGAAGGCGGCCCCCU
rnacentral:rRNA from 1 species